UUUCCUCCCCCUGCAAUCGCUAUCUCCCUCAGCCAGAGAGUCUCUCUUACCACAGAAUGCGUGAGUCAGUGCCGUCAGGGAGUGGAGUUUUCAGCAGACUUCCCUGUGCUCUGCCACACAGGAAUAGACUUCCUGUACAUCAGGUCACAACCAAUUUGUGUGGCACUGAGACCCCAUGCACCAGGUUGCAACACCACUCGCUGAAGUCUGGCCCAGUUCCUCCUCCACAGAGGGUGACUGGGUCAAACUUCAGUGGUACUGCAACCACACAGUUUGAGCAAUGCUCCCAACUGCCAGCUGCACUGAUUUAGUAUGGGACCACUGCUUAAAAGUGGUCAGGCCACAGCCCCCCAGCUGUCCUUCAACACGCACAUGUGGGAAGCUUAGAGAGUAUUCUGAGGUUCAAUUUGGGCUCACCUUCCAGUCCGUAAAUAUACUUUGAUCUCAGCACGCAACUGUAAAGGAGUGUAAAUCACAUUAAAUAUACCUUCAGUAUAACAAAAAAGAGCAAGUAAAUUGGAAAGCACCAUUUUGACAAUUAGCUGAUGUAAAGUAUGGCUGAAAAAAUGUCUUCUCAAAAUUAAAAAAAAGGCUCCCCUCAAAAACAUUUUAAGAAAUUAGUCAGUAGUUGUAAAUCAUUAAACUGUUAGUAAAGUAAAUAAUAAUAUAAAAAAUAACUUACAGUACCAUGGAAACAUGCUGGUUUCCUGUGUGUUCUGUCUGCAAAGUUCUUAGAUUCCGACGGCAGAAGAGACCAUUGUGAUCAUCUUGUCUGACCUCCUGCAAAACACAGGCCAUGGAAUGUCCCCAGAAUAAUUCCCGGAGUAUCUCUCAGAAAAAUGUCAAGUUGAUUAGCUGAGUUUUGAUUAUGCAAAAUCAACAUGGUCCCUUGGAGAAGGAUGGUUAAAAUGAUGCCCCGCACUGAGGGGAAUUUAGCAUUGUUUGAACUAGAAGAGGCCAAGCUGCCACUCUGGAGAUGAAAUUCCUGUGCCAUAAGCAAAGAUACAGGACUGGCAGCAGCAGUUCAGGAAUCACCAUGUGAGUGGACCAGUGGGCUCCCAAUCUGGAACAGAAUAAAUUCAUACAGUGGUGAGGUUCACUCUUCAUAAUCAUUGAACUCUUGGCCUCUCUGCAGAGAUUGUUGACAAAGAAUGGAAGACCCCAUGGAAUUCUCAUGCCCCUCAGAGAGAGGAACGCAGAUGACAAACACACUGAAGCAUAAAAGCCAGGGAAGAUGGAC